rnacentral:rRNA from 1 species
GAUGAACGCUGGCGGCGUGCCUAAUACAUGCAAGUCGAGCGAACAGAGUAGGAGCUUGCUCCUCUUACGUUAGCGGCGGACGGGUGAGUAACACGUGGAGAACCUGCCUAUAAGACUGGGAUAACUUCGGGAAACCAGAGCUAAUACCGGAUAAUAUAUUUAAACACAUGGUUCAAGAUUGAAAGACGGUUUUGCUUUCACUUAUAGAUGGAUCCGCUUCGCUGUAGCUAGUUGUUAAGGUAACGGCUUACCAAGGCAACGAUGCAUAGCCGACCGGAGAGGAGGGGCGGGCACAAUGGGAGUGAGACACGGCCCAAACUCCGACGGGAGGCAGAAGUAGGGAAUCUUCGGCAAUGGACGAAAGUCUGACCGAGCAACGCCGCGUGAGUGAAUAAGGUUUUCGGAUCGUAAAACUCUGUUGGUAGAGAAUAACGUUGGUGAGAGUGGAAAGCUCAUCAAGUGACGGGAACUACCCAGAAAGGGACGGCUAACUACGUG